rnacentral:tRNA from 1 species
CAGGGAGACAACAAAAUGUUUAAUAUUAUUAUUUUGUCACCUUAGGUCGAUCGGUAUCUCACGUUUUUAAUUUAUUAAGAAUUUCAUUUCCUAAGUUUUUCUAGGUCACACCCAUUAUUUUUCCUGGGCCAUUAGCUCAGGUGGUUAGAGCGCACCCCUGAUAAGGGUGAGGUCCCUGGUUCAAGUCCAGGAUGGCCCAUAUCUCUAUGUUGGGGGUAUAGCUCAGUUGGUAGAGCGCCUGCUUUGCAAGCAGGAUGUCAGCGGUUCGAGUCCGCUUACCUCCACUGAUCACCACCUCUUCCAUAAUCGGUAGAAAGGAAAUUUUUUGAGUUGUGAUCAAAUUCUGAAAGAAUCUAGCUUCCUAAUGAAAUCAUUAAGAUGCUGGACUCAUUGAAUUAAUUUCAUUGUUUUCAGAGAACCUUGACAACUGCAUAGAUUAUUUUUAAAGACAAUAAGCAUCUUUAAUGAUGCAGAUUUAUUAUUUGUGCAAAUGCAUUAAUAACAAUUCUAUUAAGCUGAUGCUUCAAUAUUUGAAGUUAUUG